rnacentral:lncRNA from 1 species
UCAUGCACUCGCCAGAGAAAUCAAAAGGCCAGAGCAGAGAAAUCAAGAGGCCAGAGCAGAGAAAUCAAAAGCCCAGAUAGUAUCUAAUAAAGAAUAAUUUUUUUAUACUGAGAUCUUUAUUUUUUUCAUUUUCAUAGAUCUAAUAAUAUCUACACUAAUGGGUUCAUAAAGAAUAAUUUUUUUAUACUGAGAUCUUUAUUUUUUUUUUCGCUUAUUAGUUUUUGAUUUUUUACAUUUUCA